AGUUCGAUUAUGCCUCAGAUUGAAGCUGGCGGGGAUGCUUUACACAUGCAAGUCGAACGGCAGCACGGACUUCGGUCUGGUGGCGAGUGGCGAAGUGAGUAAUGUAUCGGAACGUGCCUAGUAGCGGGGGAUAACUACGCGAAAGCGUAGCUAAUACCGCACACGCCCUUCGGGGAAAGCGGGGACUCGGGCCUCGCACUAUUAGAGCGGCCGAUAUCGGAUUAGCUAGUUGGUGGGUAACGGCUCACCAGCAGUGACGAUCCGUAGCUGGUUUGAGAGGACGAGACCAGCCACACUGGGACUGAGACACGGCCCAGACUCCUACGGAGGCAGUGGGGAAUUUUGGACAAUGGGGAAACCCUGAUCCAGCCAUCCCCGCGGUGCGAUGAAGGCUCGGUUGUAAAGCACUUUUGGCAGUGAAGAACGGCACGGAUAAUACUCCCCGUGCAACUGACGGCACUGGCAGAAUAAGCACCGGCUACUACGCAGCUGCAGCAGCCGCGGUAAUACGUAGGGUGCAAGCGUUAAUCGGGCUCACGGGCGCAAAGCGUGCGCAGGCGGUCUGGAAAGAAAGAUGUGAAACCCCAGAGCUUUAACUUUUGGAACUGCAUUUAACUACCGAGCUAGAGUGUGUCAGAGGGAGGUGGAAUUCCGCGUGUAGCAGUGAAAUGCGUAGAUAUGCGGAGGAACACCGAUGGCGAAGGCAGCCUCCUGGAGUAAUACUGACGCUCAUGCACGAAAGCGUGGGGAGCAAACAGGAUUAGGAUACUCCCGUAGUCCACGCCCUAAACGAUGUCAACUAGCUGUUGGGGCCUCUCGGGCCUGGUAGCGCGCAGCUAACGCGGUGAAGUUGACCGCCUGGGGAGUACGGUCGCAAGAUUAAAACUCAAAGGAAUUGACGGGGACCCCGCAAUACAGGUGGAUGAUGUGGAUUAAUUCGAUGCAACGCGAAAACCUUACCUACCCUGACAUGUCUGAACCUGAAGAGAUUUGGGAGUGCUCGCAAGAGAACCGAACACAGGUGCUGCAUGGCUGUCGUCAGGCCGUGAGAUGUUGGGUUGUCCCGCAACGAGCGCAACCCUUGUCAUUAUUACACAGAAAGGGCACUCUAAUGAGACUGCCGGUGACAAACUGGAGGAAGGUGGGGAUGAUGUCAAGUCCUCAUGGCCCUCCUUAUGGGUAGGGCUUCACACGUCAUACAAUGGUCGGGACAGAGGGCUCGCCAACCCGCGAGGGGAGCUAAUCCCAGAAACCCGAUCGUAGUCCGGAUCGCAGUCUGCAACUCGACUGCGUGAAGUCGGACCUUAGUAAUCGCGGAUCAGCAUGUCGCGGUGGUGAAUACGUUCCCGGGUCUUGUACACACGCUCCGUCACACCAUGGGGAGGGUUUUACCAGAAGUAGUUAGCCUAACCGUAAGGAGGGCGAUUACCACGGUAGGAUUCAUGACUGGGGUAGGGAAGGUA
rnacentral:rRNA from 1 species